GUGAAUCAUCGAAUUUUUGAACGCAAAUUGCGCUUCCUGGCAUCCCGGGAAGUAUGCCUGUUUAAGGGUCAGUAUUAACCAAAAAUCGGUUUGGUUGCAAAGUGUUACGUUUUCGGGGUUUGGGCUAUCUUAACUUUUUGGUUAAGGGGCUUAAAAUUGACCUUAUUUGCGCAUUUUUAGACGUACAUAAAUUUUUUUUUUUAUUCGUCUAUUCUUAAUGCCACAGUCUUAUU
rnacentral:misc_RNA from 1 species